rnacentral:rRNA from 1 species
GACGAACGCUGGCGGCGUGCCUAAUACAUGCAAGUCGAACGAGAGCAACCGGUGCUUGCACUGGUCAAUCUAGUGGCGAACGGGUGAGUAACACGUGGGUAACCUGCCCAUCAGAGGGGGAUAACAUCCGGAAACGGAUGCUAAAACCGCAUAGGUCUUCGAACCGCAUGGUUUGAAGAGGAAAAGAGGCGCAAGCUUCUGCUGAUGGAUGGACCCGCGGUCCAUUAGCUAGUUGGUGAGGUAACGGCUCACCAAGGCCGUGAUGCAUAGCCGACCUGAGAGGGUGAUCGGCCACAUUGGGACUGAGACACGGCCCAAACUCCUACGGGAGGCAGCAGUAGGGAAUCUUCCGCAAUGGACGCAAGUCUGACGGAGCAACGCCGCGUGAGUGAAGAAGGUUUUCGGAUCGUAAAACUCUGUUGUUAGAGAAGAACAAGUGCUAGAGUAACUGUUAGCGCCUUGACGGUAUCUAACCAGAAAGCCACGGCUAACUACGUG